rnacentral:rRNA from 1 species
UGAGGAAUAUUGCGCAAUGGGGGCGACCCUGACGCAGCAACGCCGCGUGAGUGAGGAAGGUUUUCGGACCGUAAAGCUCUGUCGAGCGGGAAGAAAUGCAUGGUGGCUAAUAUCCAUCAUGCUUGACGGUACCGCUAAAGGAAGCACCGGCUAACUCCGUGCCAGCAGCCGCGGUAAUACGGGGGUGCGAGCGUUGUUCGGAAUUAUUGGGCGUAAAGAGCGUGUAGGCGGCCGAAUAAGUCAGAUGUGAAAUCCCUGGGCUUAACCCAGGACGUGCAUUUGAAACUAUUCGGCUGGAGUAGGGGAGAGGAAAGUGGAAUUCCUGGUGUAGAGGUGAAAUUCGUAGAUAUCAGGAGGAACACCGGUGGCGAAGGCGACUUUCUGGCCCUAUACUGACGCUGAGACGCGAGAGCGUGGGUAGCAAACAG